rnacentral:rRNA from 1 species
UUAAAAAGUUAAUUGUACAAUCAAUUUAAUUUGAAAAAAAAUUAUUAUUAAUUUUUAUAAUUUAUUUUUUUUUAAAAAAAAUAAUUUUUAUUUUAUUAUUAUAAUUAGAAAAAAUUAAUUUUAUUAUAGUUUAAAGUAUUGUAAAAGAAAUUUUUAAUUGGUUUAAAGAAAAUUUUAUUUUUUGUACCUUGUGUAUCAGGGUUUAUUAAAUGAUUUUAAAAAUUUAAUUUUCUCGAAUUUAAAAGAGCUAAAAAAUUAUUAUUGUUAAUAUUGAAUAAUUAUAUUAAAUAAUUUUUUUGUAAUGAAAUGUUAUUCGUUUUUAAAUAUAUCUAGUUUUUUAAGAAAAAAAUUUAAUUUUAUUAUCUUAAAUAUAAUUUUAUAUUAUAAUUUUAUAUUAUAGGUAUUUAAAAUUUUUAGGGAUUAGCUUAAAAAUUUAAUUUUAUUAAAAUGUAGAUGAAUAUUUUUUUUUAGGAUUAGAAAUUUUCAAAAUUAAAAGUAUAUUAUAAUUUAAUUUAAAAUUAUAAAAUUUUUAUUUUUUAUAAAUAUUAUAUUAAAAUAUAAAUUUUAAUUAAAUAAAUUUAGUAAUAAUGAUAAAAUUAGUAUAAUAUUAUUUAUAUAUAUAUAUAUAUAUAUAUAUAUUAAUUAAAGGAAUUCGGCAAAAUAAAUUUUCACCUGUUUAAUAAAAACAUGUCUUUUUGAUUAUAAUUUAAAGUCUAGCCUGCCCAAUGAAAAAUUUUUAAUGGCCGCGGUAUAUUGACUGUGCUAAGGUAGCAUAAUCAUUAGUUUUUUAAUUAAAAGCUAGAAUGAAGGGUUGAAUGAAAAAUUAACUGUCUCUAAUUAAUUUUAUUAAAAUUUUAUUUUUAAGUUAAAAAGCUUAAAUAUUUUUAAAAGACGAGAAGACCCUAUAGAGUUUAAUAUAUUAAAAAUUUUUAAAUAUUUAGAAUUCAUUUUUUAUGAUAAAAAUAUAUUUAAUUGGGGUGAUUAAAAAAUUUAAUAAACUUUUUUUAUAUAAUUAUAUUAAUUAAUAAAUUUAUGAUCCAAUAAUUUUGAUUAAAAGAUAAAUUACCUUAGGGAUAACAGCGUAAUUUUAUUUAAGAGUUCUAAUCGAAAAUAAAGAUUGCGACCUCGAUGUUGGAUUAAAAUUAAAAUUUGGUGUAGAAGCUAAAUAUUUAAGUCUGUUCGACUUUGAAAAUUUUACAUGAUCUGAGUUUAAACCGGUGUGAGCCAGGUUGGUUUCUAUCUUUAAAUAGUUAAAAUAUUUUAGUACGAAAGGACCAAAUAUU